GUCAGUCUUGAUAGAGGGAAGGCGCGUACCUUCAUCAGGUUUACCAUUCCCAUUUGUCAAGUAUCUUUUGCAAUGAGACAGAAUGGAUGGUGGUUGAUAAGGUUUCGUAAGCUUACUUGGACAAGACUUGAGCUUAGCUUUGGUUUUCCCAAACCGAGUCCUUCUUCGUCUUAUUGUGUGAACCCUAACACGUUUUUUUCCUUCUUUCCCAUAAAAGUUCUUUGCUGUUUCCAAAUUCUUGGUCUUCAAAGAAAAAACAGUAGAUUUUUUAUCAUCCUUAUUAGUUGCUUUGCUGAUCAAUUCACUCUUUCUAAGGGCAUGUUCAUCAACUUCUCCAGAAGGUGGCAAAUUCCCAGCCAGUAAGUUCCCUUCCAAUGCACAAAUUCUUUCAGCACAUCCAUUUCUGUACAGCUCAGGUUCCU
rnacentral:misc_RNA from 1 species